UGCCUUUUAUGUUGCCCACUUAAUUUUAUGUAGAUGAGUGUGGUGUCAAAAAAGGCAUAAAAUAACUUGAGCUGUUCUCAGCAUCCUGUUGCUGUUGUGUUUCAGGAUAUUAUGAUUCAGCUGAAACAUAG